UGGGGAAUAUUGCACAAUGGGCGCAAGCCUGAUGCAGCCAUGCCGCGUGUAUGAAGAAGGCCUUCGGGUUGUAAAGUACUUUCAGCGAGGAGGAAGGCAUUAAGGUUAAUAACCUUGGUGAUUGACGUUACUCGCAGAAGAAGCACCGGCUAACUCCGUGCCAGCAGCCGCGGUAAUACGGAGGGUGCAAGCGUUAAUCGGAAUUACUGGGCGUAAAGCGCACGCAGGCGGUGUGUCAAGUCGGAUGUGAAAUCCCCGGGCUCAACCUGGGAACUGCAUUCGAAACUGGCAGGCUAGAGUCUUGUAGAGGGGGGUAGAAUUCCAGGUGUAGCGGUGAAAUGCGUAGAGAUCUGGAGGAAUACCGGUGGCGAAGGCGGCCCCCUGGACAAAGACUGACGCUCAGGUGCGAAAGCGUGGGGAGCAAACA
rnacentral:rRNA from 1 species